rnacentral:rRNA from 1 species
AUUGCACAACGGGGGAAACCCUGAUGCAGCGACGCCGCGUGAGUGAAGAAGUAUUUCGGUAUGUAAAGCUCUAUCAGUAGGGAAGAAAAUGACGGUACAUGAUUAAGAAGUCCCGGCUAACUACGUGCCAGCACCCGCGGUAAUACGUAGGGGGCAAGCGUUACCCGGAUUUACUGGGUGUAAAGGGAGCGUAGACGGCAGCACAAGUCUGGAGUGAAAUGCCGGGGCUUAACCCCGGAACUGCUUUGGAAACUGUGCAGCUAGAGUGCAGGAGAGGUAAGUGGAACUCCUAGUGUAGCGGUGAAAUGCGUAGAUAUUAGGAGGAACACCAGUGGCGAAGGCGGCUUACUGGACUGUAACUGACGUUGAGGCUCGAAAGCGUGGGGAGCAAACAGG